UAGGGAAUCUUCCGCAAUGGACGAAAGUCUGACGGAGCAACGCCGCGUGAGUGAAGAAGGAUUUCGGUUCGUAAAACUCUGUUGUUAGGGAAGAAAAAAUGUAUAGUAACUAUAUACAAAAGAGACGGUACCUAACCAGAAAGCCACGGCUAACUACGUGCCAGCAGCCGCGGUAAUACGUAGGUGGCAAGCGUUGUCCGGAAUUAUUGGGCGUAAAGCGCGCGCAGGUGGUUUAGAAAGUCUAAUGUGAAAGCCCACGGCUCAACCGUGGAGGGUCAUUGGAAACUAAUAAACUUGAGUGCAGGAGAGAAAAGUGGAAUUCCUAGUGUAGCGGUGAAAUGCGUAGAGAUUAGGAGGAACACCGGUGGCGAAAGCGGCUUUUUGGCCUGCAACUGACACUGAGGCGCGAAAGCGUGGGGAGCAAACAGG
rnacentral:rRNA from 1 species